AUCGUGACCUGGCUGAAGUCGGACGCUUAACCGACUGCGCCACCCAGGCGCCCCAGAGCCUUCUGGAGUUAAAAAUAAAAACUGCCCACCAGCAUCCCGGAAGAGCUGCAGCUGGUGUUGGGGGAAUAGUCUUUUGAAAGUCGGGGACGAGGACUGCCCAGGUAGAUUGUUAACUUUGUCUCCAGAGGGCAGCCACACCACUGGUUAAUGGUUAAACUAAAUGGAGUAAGAGAAGAAAAAUGUGGAGAACGUUGGAGGAGGGGAAUCUUCUUUCCUAUGACUUUCUGGUCUUUCUUCAUCAUCACUCACUCCUCCCAGAACUUGUCAGACUUAUUGCCACUGCCUGCAUGAUCAGUGCUGGCCAGCCAGCAGGCUCCUCCACCGUCUCCCUCCUCCUGGCUCCUGGAGAUCUGCCUGCCUGCUGCACACAUGUGUUCCACCCUGUUUUUGCAUUCUAAACAAUGAAGCAAUGAACAUUGACCUGUAUAGCUGCUUCUUUGGACACAUGUGCAAAUGUUUUUUCUGAUAAAUUCUUAGAGGACAACUUGCUGAGUUAAAGAUACAUGCAGGUGCGAGGGACAUUCCUGGGGAAGAGCCUUUCUUGGCCAUUUACCACAGUGUUUCCUUACUUAAACACCAAAUGGACUUACUAAACUGUACUAGGGCAGAUGGCACAGCAAGACUUAGUCUGUUCCAGUCCAAAGAGAUAAUUUAUGUAAAUUACAUGACCAUAGACAUUAUAUGAUAUCCUCUAACAUCCCUUUGACAUACCAUGGCAAUCUUCCUCCACCACAUAGCAGUAUGGGAAGUGCCCUUCUAAGUCCUUUCCCAUACAUUUACUUCCUGUCUUAAGGAUCUUUGCAUGCCUGCUACUUUGUAAUACCUCUGCUAAUGAAUAGAGGAAGCUGCCUUCAGUACUCCAAAUGAGGAAAGAAAUGCCGUUACUGGAUUCCAUUCCUGUCUAUCAUCUUGUUCAAAAGGAGGGGAGUGAGUCAGAUCAAGAGAAUGAGUCACCAAGUCAUAGCCAAGGUGAUAAACCUCAAGACUUGCAUCUAUCUGCUCCAUGGUCAAAGAAGAAAACCUUACCAUCUGAGUGGUGAGAAACCAGAGUGUGUACUAUCUGAACAUGUAAUGUUAUUUUGAGGAAAAAAUAAAGUGACUUUCCUAAAAAACUUUUCUGGUGUCUGUCUUCUGAAAUUCAGAACUUUUUUACUCACUGACUUAUAUUUAAAAAACUAUUAAUUACUGAGGUUUUGGCAGGAGGACGACUAUAUUAAUUCAAAAUUCCCUGAGAUAUUGUAUCUUAAAUUUUAAUAGAUAUAUUGCCAAACUACCCUCCAACAAGCCUGUAUCAAUUUGUACUCCCACUAAUAUUGAAUGUGUCUAACAUACUAUCAAUCUUUUAAAUUAUCAUCUGGUGGGUGAAAAAUGGUAUCUUACUAGUGUAAUAUGCAUUUCUCUGAUGACCAAUGACAUUCAGCAUAAUUUUACAUAAUUUUUGACCAUCCAUGUAUCCUCUUCUCUGAAUUAUCUGUUCCUAUCCACUGCUUCUUUUCUUUUUUUUUAAAUUUUUUUAAUGUUUAUUUUUUUGAGAGAGAGAGACAG